rnacentral:rRNA from 1 species
ACCUACGGGACGCAGCAGUGGGGAAUAUUGCGCAAUGGGCGAAAGCCUGACGCAGCGACGCCGCGUGAGGGACGAAGGUCUUCGGAUCGUAAACCUCUGUCAGCAGGGAAGAACGGUCACUGUGCUAAUCAGCAGUGAAUUGACGGUACCUGCAAAGGAAGCACCGGCUAACUCCGUGCCAGCAGCCGCGGUAAUACGGUGGGUGCGAGCGUUAAUCGGAAUUACUGGGCGUAAAGCGCUCGUAGGCGGUAUGUCAAGUCAAGGGUGAAAUCCCCGCGCUCAACGUGGGUACUGCCUUUGAAACU